CUCCUGUGAGGAGCACUUCUCCUCAGCUACUGUUUUCCUUGGGUGAUAGUAACUGCUUCCCCCACUUAUUCCUUCAGACCUAGGGGUAGUGGAGGCUUCCUCCUGUUGUUUGUGUCCCAGGCACUUCCUCAUUCUUGGCUACCCACAUUUCUAUAAAUUGUCCUUGAUGAAAUUCUCUUCAAUCACCCCUACUGAGCAUGCAGUUCAUUUCCUCUUGGGAUGGCGACAGAUGCGUGAGCACACGGAGGACUGUGACAAGUCAGCGAGAGCCCGGGGGGUGAUCCAGAUGGUCAAGUGGACAUCAUGAAAGGCUUGAAUUAUUGCGAUGGAACCCCACCCUAAACUUUGAUCACUGAGACAAGAGACCCCAGCAGCAAAUCUACUGAGUGGAUUACACGGGAUGGGAGCUGAGGGAGGCUGGAAAAGGUUCGCUGGGGCUGAUUUCCUAUGAGAGGAGACAAUGCAGAGGAAAGGCCUCCAAAGGGCCUUUCAAAGAAUCAUCAGGUGUCUCCCAGGAGGUGCUCCCUUUGGACGGUUGCCAUGGAGGAGGGGAGAGAUCACAAGGGCAGCCGGUAAGUAAAAGCAUUUCUGCUCCUUUUGCAAAUUCUGUCUCUCUGGCUUCGACAUAGAAAGGGGCCCUCAAAAUGGCAGUUGUAGAGGAAAAGCAUCCGGAGGAGGCCCCCCCACCCCUUGCGCCUCUCCCUGCCUCAGGCCUGUCGCUGAACCCGCUGGAGGAGGCGGACGUUUCCAUUGGUUGAGAGACUGAAGUGGGUGGGGCUGGAGUACACCCUUCACCACCGGAAAAGGUCAGAAAGCUGGCAUCUGCCGAGGGGCCACGAAGUCUUGAGAAGAGGAGAGUUGAUGGAGCAUGUUUUAAAGCCGUGAUUGGAGAAAAAUAAGCUACUGAGUUCACAGCGUUCAACAAACUGCUGCCGAGCGGCAAGGGCUCAGCAAACAGGCGGUGCUCCACAAACGGAAGAUACUGUUUUUCCCAGUCACCUGAAGAGAAUAAACACUCAGGAAAUGACGAGAUAUGUUUUGAUAUUGACGAGCAAAUAAGAUAUUCAAUUGGUAUUUUGGAUUUAGAAGAAAAGUGUAAUGUGUUCAUUAUGGCUUCGAGUUCCCAUUUUCACCGUAAGGACUUCUCGGGAUACUUCCCGAGCUUUUCGUGAGGCAUUUGCCUUCUGUCACUUUGUAGAAUCC
rnacentral:lncRNA from 1 species